UCCUACGGGAGGCAGCAGUGGGGAAUAUUGCACAAUGGGGGAAACCCUGAUGCAGCAACGCCGCGUGAGUGAAGAAGUAUUUCGGUAUGUAAAGCUCUAUCAGCAGGGAAGAAGAUGACGGUACCUGAUUAAGAAGCCCCGGCUAACUACGUGCCAGCAGCCGCGGUAAUACGUAGGGGGCAAGCGUUAUCCGGAUUUACUGGGUGUAAAGGGAGCGCAGACGGCAGUGCAAGUCUGGAGUGAAAGCCCGGGGCUCAACCCCGGGACUGCAUUUGGAACUGUCAGGCUGGAGUGCAGGAGAGGCA
rnacentral:rRNA from 1 species